rnacentral:rRNA from 1 species
CUCCGGUUGAUCCCGCCGGACCUGACUGCUAUCGGAUUGGUACUAAGCCAUGCGAGUCGUUGUAGCAAUACAAGGCGGACGGCUCAGUAACACGUAGUCAACCUAACCUAUGGACGUGGAUAACCUCGGGAAACUGAGAAUAAACCGCGAUAGAUCAUUAUGCCUGGAAUGGCUUAUGGUUCAAACAAUUUAUUGCCGUAGGAUGGGACUGCGGCCUAUCAGCUUGUUGGUGAGGUAAUGGCCCACCAAGGCUAUAACAGGUACGGGCUCUGAGAGGAGAAGCCCGGAGAUGGGUACUGAGACACGGACCCAGGCCCUAUGGGGCGCAGCAGGCGAGAAACCUUAGCAAUGUGCGAAAGCACGACUAGGUUAAUCCGAGUGAUUUCUGUUGAAGAAAUCUUUUGUCAGUCGUAAAACCACAGACGAAUAAGGGGUGGGCAAGUCUGGUGUCAGCCGCCGCGGUAAUACCAGCACCUCGAGUGGUCAGGAGGUUUAUUGGGCCUAAAGCAUCCGUAGCCGGCUACGCAAGUCUCCGGUUAAAUCCAGCUGCUCAACAGAUGGGCUGCCGGAGAUACUACAUAGCUAGGGAGCGGGAGAGGUAGACGGUAUUCUGUGGGUAGGGGUAAAAUCCACUGAUCCAUAGAGGACCACCAGUGGCGAAGGCGGUCUACCAGAACGCGUUCGACGGUGAGGGAUGAAAGCUGGGGGAGCAAACCGGAUUAGAUACCCGGGUAGUCCCAGCUGUAAACGAUGCAAACUCGGUGAUGCAUUGGCUUAUGGCCAAUGCAGUGCCGCAGGGAAGCCGUUAAGUUUGCCGCCUGGGAAGUACGGACGCAAGUCUGAAACUUAAGGGAUUGGCGGGGGGAGCA